ensembl:lncRNA
GAGGCCUGAGCGUGUCACAUGGACAUGAUAUAAUGAAAAGGCAGGAACAGAGUGAGUGCGCUGGGCUCUUUGCUAAAGGAGAGGGGAGCAGAAAUGUACGCAGUCAUCUGCCGACAGUGUAGAGGGCCAGCGGGGCCGAGCCCAACCGAACGCUGCCGAUCUCGACCGGGCUGGGCCGAGCCGGACAGACUGCGCCUCAUCGGACGGGACCUCUGUGUUCGCCGUUGCACCUGCCAGCUGUGACACGCACUUUAAAAGAGGAGGAAAAUGUCGCCCGUGCGUGCGCAUAUUUCGCACAGUCCCGGAGCAAAGGAGGAGCGCCCUUCGGUGCUCUGCUGGAAGCGAAUGCAUGCUGCAGACGCCUAUGGGCUUCAAAUCAGCAAACAGCACUGGAAUGACGCACCCCUGGCUAAAAGGCGCAGAUGGGAGCAGACGGACGGACGGCAGCGAGGAUGACAUCACUGUUACCCGUGGGAGCCUGGGCCUGUCAUUCUUGGUGUCACUUCCUGGGAGAGAAUAGAAGAGGAAGCCAGAGCGAGAGCCGACAACGGGCGCUCCCCUCACCUCCACAAGGAAGCCUUUUUCCCCCGAGAGCAUAAUGUGUGUCCGCUUGUGUCCCUCGCUCACUCCUGCAUUCAUCCCACAGAGGGCUGGUGCUGGUUCAGAAUUUGUGUAAGCCCUGAUUGUUUUCAUUUUCUUUGGGCUCAAGUCUGAGCCUUUUCCAACAAAUCCUUUGAAGAGCUUAUUAUUUUACAUUUCAACGGUAGUUAAAAUAAGUCACAGUGGUGACUUUAUGGGUACGGAUGCAGUAAGCUGUGCCUCUGCAGGCUUUAUUUUGCUGCCCUGGGUCAGCAGUGUUUGGGGAAAAGCUCCGUUUGGAGGGAUAAAAAAACGUGGAGGCCACAGUGACGUCACCUGAUGGUGUUGGACUCUGGGUCGGGGUGAGGCUCGAUCCCUAGCAUUUUGGCCACUGCCACACUUUGUUUCUAUGCUGGAGUUUUCCCAUAUUGGACAAAAGGGGCGAGUGAUACAUUAAAGGUAAUCCUAGCAAGGUUAGCAAGCUGCAUGUGUAGCUUGCAUGGGUCCAGUGGACGCACAUCAUUUCUAAUUAGUCCUUUCCCUGAAUGGUGUAAGCCUCACAUAUUUGUCAGGUGAUUCUGUUUAACUCCAAAAGGCUCCAACAGGAACAGUCCAGUUUGACUCCAGUCUGCACAGAGCCCUCAGUUAACCCCUCAACAUCCACUCGUGUCACCAGAUCAACGAUUAUUCGUAUUGCUGUUUGUUGAUAUUGUGUUACUGUUGUAAAAUGCAGUGACGUGGCUGAAACUACAGCGAGUCAUCAGAAAGAUCAAUGAGCUUCUCUUCCUGUUGGAGUGUUCACAGACAAGAUAAUGGCUGAAAUAAGUUAGUAAGCUCUAUUUAAAUGCCAGCUCGUCAUGAACUUUGAUUUUCUUUUUUAAUCAUGAGGCUUUGUGAUGAUUCAUGUCUGUGUUAAGGUGCUAGCGUAGCUGAUUCAGAGCUGCUAAUGAGUAGAUGUGUUGUUCUACUUGUUUGUCUUCAUCCAACUGAGCAACUCAAACGUAACCAGCUUAGUGCAUACACAGCAUCUUUGUACUAUCCAUCACAUCUACUGUGCAGGCAUACAAAGCAGACACACAUCCUGCUACCUGAUUUGUUUUACACAAAUCCUGAACUCAAAAUGAGCAGGACGCGCUGUGGUUUAGGCGCUGGCAGGCUCUGGUGAGUCUGUGUUUAAAGGCAAAGAAAGGAUGGAAAGAUGACUGCAAUGUAAAAAUGAAAUUAAAGAUGUCCAGGUUUCGGUCCCCGGGACAAGUCACAGCUUUGUUGGAUUGUUUUGUACCGCCGCUGUUUCAUGAAAUGUAUUCCUGGCUGCCCUACAGUGGAUUUGCUUCUGACCUUUGACCUCUCUAACCAACACAAGUGUAUCAAAGCUGAGCCCUCCCUUUGAGGACCCGCAUGGACGUUAUAGAUGUAAUGUCGCCCUCUUGUGUGUGAAUAUAAAAUUGCAGGAUUAAUAUACGAUGUCUUUACAAAACACUGUCUGGUGAAUUUCAGCACUUCUCAGUGUGAGAUCGUAACAUCGGAUGUGGGCAGCUGUUAGAUGGCUCCGCCCUCCAAAGCCUCCACCUCUCUGCAGCACCGACAGCGUAAAGACUUUGUAACCUGGAGGCUCCGAUCGUGGGACACACCUCUGAUCAUCUGACACCCAUGUUUCAAACACCUGGGAGGGCCGCUGGGACAAUGCAUGUACUGUUAGAUUUGUUGUCAUGACGACCUUGCUGGUUAUGUAAGCACUGGGCUCUGGUUCCCACAAACAGUGGUGCACGCAGGUCUUUGUGCUGUGACACUAGAAACCACACACACAGUCACAGUUUGUACAUUCCUCCAGCUGCUCACAUGUCACCCUGCAGCGACUGCAACGAGACAUUUAACCCUCAGAGAUGAUCCAAACCUUAACCCUGUGCUAUCAGCAUGUGUGCUUAAGGUGAGGGCUGUGGCCGACUCGGGGCUGAUACUUUGUUGCAGUUUAACAUCAAGAAUUUGGGUGGCACAGUUUCUUUCAGUAAUUCAGUAAAUUUGUUUCAGUUCCCACCAAAACUGAAGUAAGCUUGCUGGUUUUCUUGGAUUUUUGCUGAUUUCUUGAGCUUGGCCACAAUUUCUCUGGUUGGCUGUUAGUUUCACAACUCCUCCAGUCUGCAUGUUGAGAUGUCAUGUGUGCCACAGGCACAGUACUUUGAGUAAUAAGUGCUAUAGUGAUGCAGUUGGUUAAACUAGCAGGUUCCUCUCUGUAACCUUGAUUGAAUCCAAAGAUUUCGUGACCCUAAAGCAGACUCACAUUUACCAGCUUCUCUGUUGCUCAGGUGCUUCUUCACAUGCUCUGUCUCUCUGGCAACAGCCUGGAAAUGCUGCUGCUCUGGACCAACAACAAUAAAUGUGUGUGUAGAGGUACCCAUGUGUCCGUCUGUACUGAUGGAGCUGAUGUGCCACAUAGAUUUGGCUCUGUAAAGUUAAAUGACGUUGAGCAUACUCAUGUACAUAUCCAUCCAUUCACACUGGUUUUCCUCUCUUACGUCAUGUGGUUCUGUUUUUCUUCUUCCCCUCUGUGUCUGUGGAAGGUGGCAGGUCGUGAGCGUAGACUGACGUGGACUAGAGUGAGUGCUCGUCAUUAUGCUUGUGAUGUCUGAGAGAGCACAAACGCCGUUCACAGUAGCCUCUAUGCAUUCCUCCUGUGGCAGGCGUCCCUGUCUUAUGCUGUCAGCCUCACUUUUUAUGUGACGUCUGUUCUGUUUGAAUUCAUCUUCAUUGCUGGAAGCAAGUAUUCAGGUGCCAGCUGCUCAUGAUGCUGGACUGGCAUAGCAACAGCAGCAAAAAGAAGAGCUGUCACACAGUGCACAGAGCGCAGCAGGGCUGAGAUCACCGUGAUGAGCAGGGCAAAGCCUGCCUCCUCUCUACGACUCACAUUAGACAAGUUGUCCAAAAAUGGUCCAACAGAGAAAAAGUGAAGGUUGAAGGAGAGAGAUCACAGAAAGUCGAUGACAAGCAGCUACAGGGUCACCUAGGCAACUGGAGCCUGGAAUGUCCGCUAGCAACCAAUCGUCAGCUUCAAAGCAAUGCACGACAGCUCGAUGACUUCCUGUGUGGAUGAAAAGUGUUAUAGCUCAUGUUCACAUGCAGUGAAUGCUGAUUCUGAUGGUUGUUUUAAAGUUUGAGGGGUUUUCCAAGUGAAUGUUUGCAGGUAUCCACACAGACUUCAGACAGGCCUGCCUUUAAGUCCUAAAUUUUAAAAUAGUAGACAACUUUCUGUGCUAGAGGUAUCAUAUAUGCAAUGAUAGCAAUAAUAUUUUAAAAUUUAAUAAUACAAAUAAAAAGCUGGUAGUUGUUCUUUUUGUACAUGGUUAUAGGAUUUUCAGUGUAGUUCCCUUGCUUCUGUAGAUUUGAUAAUGAUACCAUUACAUUUCCUUUGUUUUUGCUCAUAGUUGUGGAGUGAAAAUGUAAUAAUGUGACAGUAAAUAUGGAAU